UACAGAGGUCUCAAGCGUUGUUCGGAUUCAUUGGGCGUAAAGGGUGUGUAGGUGGCGCUGUAAGUCGGGUGUGAAAUUUCGGAGCUUAACCUCCGAAACUGCAUUCGGAUACUGCGGUGCUUGAGGACUGGAGAGGAGACUGGAAUUCAUGGUGUAGCAGUGAAAUGCGCAGAUAUCAGGAGGAACACCGAUGGCGAAGGCAGCUCGCUGGGACGGUACUGACGCUGAGGCGCGAAAGCGUGGGGAGCGAACAGG
rnacentral:rRNA from 1 species